rnacentral:misc_RNA from 1 species
CUUGAAUCUAUUGUCCAUCCCAAAAAUUGCACAUGCCUGAAGACUGUCGCCUCUGAUCCUCUGACUGUCUUCGAUUUCGAGACCAAGAAUGCAAUUACCUGAAUAAAGGAAUAUUUACAAUUACAUGGCAUCACUAGUAUUCGAAAACGUCAGGGUUGUGUUCAACUUUGAUUUAGAGGCUAUGCUCCGAUGAAACGUCAAAGAUUUCCACAUGCUGGAGGAGCCAGAAGCCAACAAACCUGCAUUUUCCAACCAGACGUUGCAUCUAUAUUCAAAUAAAUUUGACAAGUAGUUUCGCUGUUGCUUGAAUCUAUUGUCCAUCCCAAAAAUUGCACAUGCCUGAAGACUGUCGCCUCUGAUCCUCUGACUGUCUUCGAUUUCGAGACCAAGAAUGCAAUUACCUGAAUAAAGGAAUAUUUACAAUUACAUGGCAUCACUAGUAUUCGAAAACGUCAGGGUUGUGUUCAACUUUGAUUUAGAGGCUAUGCUCCGAUGAAACGUCAAAGGUGUGUCACGAGUUCUCAAUUAGUGAGUUUUUAGCAAUUGUGUCAAUAGCAAUACGUUUUUUCACUGGACUGAUGAAACUAGAAGGUAUUAUAAUUGAUCCAACCCAUUGCGAACUGUCGUCAG